GACGAACGCUGGCGGCGUGCCUAAUACAUGCAAGUCGAGCGCUGGAAGAGGAGGUUGCUUCUCCUGAUGAGUUGCGCACGGGGGAGUAUCGCGUAUGGAACCUGCCUGGUAGCGGGGGGGAACACUUGGGAAAGCUAGCUCUUACCGCAGAAGAGUAGAUGUAGCGUGACGUUUGCUUGAAAGGUGCAAUUUUGUCACUACCAGAUGAAGGUGCGGUGUAUUAGCUAGUUGGUGGGGUAACGGCUUACCAAGGCGACGACACAUAGUCGGCCAGAGAGGGUGAUCGGCCACACUGGGACUGAGACACGGCCCAGGCUCCUACGGGAGGCAGCAGUAGGGAAUCUUCGGCAAUGGACGGAAGUCUGACCGAGCAACGCCGCGUGAGUGAAGAAGGUUUUCGGAUCGUAAAGCUCUGUUGUAAGAGAAGAACGAGUGUGAGAGUGGAAAGUUCACACUGUGACGGUAUCUUACCAGAAAGGGACGGCUAACUACGUG
rnacentral:rRNA from 1 species